rnacentral:rRNA from 1 species
UACGUAGGGGGCAAGCGUUGUCCGGAUUUAUUGGGCGUAAAGAGCGUGUAGGCGGCUUGUCGCGUCGGAUGUGAAAGCCCGGGGCUUAACUCCGGGUCUGCAUUCGAUACGGGCAGGCUAGAGUUCGGUAGGGGAGAUCGGAAUUCCUGGUGUAGCGGUGAAAUGCGCAGAUAUCAGGAGGAACACCAGUGGCGAAGGCGGGUCUCUGGACAGUUCCUGACGCUGAGGCACGAAGUCCAGGGGAGCAAACGGG